UGUUCGAGUAACAAAUAUAAAACAAGCAACGAAAUGUGUUUCGGGUCGGGUCAGGGUUGGAACAUUGUUCGACCCGAAACACAUUAACAUCCAAACAAGCCAACCAAACACAGAGUCAAACAUGUCGCAGAAAAGUGAAAACCCCUCCCCUUCGGCUUCUUCUCCGACGACUGCUGCUGCCCUCCGAUCGACGCGCCUCCGCCCUCCGUUUGUCUGGGCGUAGGCACAGCUGUUGGGACUUGGGAGGAACUGGAAGGAGCUCAAUCUCUCUCCCGCCUAUCUGGAUUCGCUCUUGGGGCUGACCUGGAAAUCCUCCCGAGCCCUGCGCCCGAUCGUCGGUCUCCGAUUAGCCAUCGUCGUUGUCGAGUUCAGGUGACAGCAUAAGCUACGCCAGCGGGAACUUCCUCAGCGAUGUUUACUCUGAUUCUGUCUACAAGCAAACCUAAGCCUGAGAAACAAGUAGCAGCCGAAGAGAUUGAGGAACAGCAGCAGCUAAUUGAGAUGCAAUCUAGCAAGCAAAGCUCCGGUGAUUAUGAGGAGAAAUAAGCAUUUUGGUGAAAGAAAAUCAUUUCAGUUUUCACAUUUCUGUGUCUCAAAAUAUUAUGGUGGAUUGUCCACACUCCAUGGUUAGAUUGGUCUGAGCAACAUAAAUUGCUUCGCUCUUUUUGUGAGUACCUAUGCCGUUUAUUGGCAUCCUCAUCUGGGUGUACUGAGUCUCCAUCAUAUCUGACAAGAAAUCUAGAUAGAUGAUGCAUUCCUUUUGCUACCAUUCUUUUCCCAUUCAUUCCAGUGAUCUAGUGAAUACGAAGAAUCAUAGAUUGUUCUC